GUUCAGAGAUGUUUAGGUUCAUCACGUAUGCUAGCAUGCUAACAGGCCUCCAGAAGCAGAUGAUUUUCACAGCAUAUCUGUUCGUUUUGUUGUGUGUGAAAGAACGCUAUUGACUCGAGGAUGAAUCUUGGCUUUCUUGUGGUUGUACUGAUGCCAGGCGUCCUUCAGAGCGUCGAGAGGGAGACCCUUGCUCGUGCAAACAGCCUCUGAGAAUAGUGAACGUGUGAAUGGGUUUUUCAGGCACACCUCGCAGAGGUUGCAAGGAAUGCACAGCACUCGCACCCUAAAAUGGCCGAAAUGACGCCAUUUUGUUUUCCCACUAUUUUGCUGUGAGGAAUAGCAGAAUCAGCUUUGUUAAAGCUACAGGAGACAGCUGGGGAAGCCAUGUUUUACAUCGUCUGUUUACCUCAAAAGCGUAGCUUACGCAAUGUUGUCUUGUUGGAAUGAGCUCAGUUUUUGGCAAAACGGGCGCGAAUUCCUGGCGAAGGAUCAAGACUUUUUUUUUCUUCAUGAUCCAAUGCCAGCCUCGCUAGAAUGAGAAUCCAGCGGUCUGCUUUCUGACUGGUUGUCAUCUGUUCUGCUGUCCUUGGGGCUGAGGUAGUAGAUUGAAUAGUUGUGGAGCCCUGCGCUCUCUCACUGAGAUAACUAUACAAUCUACUGUCUUUCCUAAGGCGACAGCCAAAUCAUCCACAAACACGUGUCUGCAUUCAUCCAAUGAGUCGCGAAGGAUUACAGAAGUAAAACGGGUUGGGAUUGAUGUGUCAUGUUGACUUCAUUCAUACGCAAGCAUGUCAGGCGAUGGGAUUGGUGUCUUGACAGGGUGAGGUAGUAGGUUGUAUAGUUUGGUGGGAGGGAUCAAACCCUGCUCAGGUGAUAACUAUACAGUCUAUUGCCUUCCUUGUUGUGCCAACUAUCUGCCAGCUAGUGGAAAAUCCCUGGAGCUUAAAUAUUGGUUCAACUUCACAGUCUGCUUCACACCACAUGAACUAUAUAUGUGAAUAUAGCGUGUUUUCAGCAUCCGUGUAUAUACACUGCCUGCAUAAACAGAAACAAAUACACCGUAGUUGCCACAAAAUAGGUUGAAAAUGCCCCAUAAACCUAUUUGUAGACUUUUAUGAAGCAGCAAAAUAAACAUGUUCUAUUCAGUAAAUCUGACUGAAUCAAGAGACUGCAAGUUAAGCAGUUUAUCUGCACUUAAUGCUUUUUGGUUCUGUUUUGCGUAGAUUAAUACAUAUUUGGAUGUAAAAGCUCAUGUAAAUUACAAUCAAUUACAACGAAAUGGCAAGUAACACAUUCAAUUAAAUGUAAAAUGUUGCAGUAGAAAGAUUAUAUGUUCUCCAGUAAUCUCUCUUUUGAUUGCAGUUUGCAAUUUUUUUUUUUAUUUUUUUUUUUGAUAAUUGGUAAUAAUAAGAAAUGUUUCUUGAGCAGCAAAUCAGCAUAUUAAAAUUAUUUCUGAAGGAUCACGUGACACUUAAGACUGGAGUAAUGAUGCUGAAAAUUCAGCUUUGAAUCACAUGCAAAUUUAUUUAUUUUUUUUUUUUUUUGAAUAAAAAUUCAUCCUAUGAGAAAAAAAUUCAAUAAAAAUCCAACUAACCUCAUGAUGAACAGUAAUUUAAUGAUGAUCGUGUUUGUAAUAUUCUCACUCCACUAAACAUUUGAUAGGUUAUGGUCAUAAAUUUAAAGAAAGAUUUGUGCUGUAUAGUGGAGCAGCAGAAGCGUUGCGAGUGUGAAAGCACCGUGAGACAGCUUUGUGUGUGUUUUGUGAAACAGCCCUAACACUUUACCUAACAAGCCUGAACAACAUCCAUGCCUCUCCUGCCAGCUUAACAUGCUGAUCUAGUAUUACAUAUGAAGAGAAAUACCAGAUUAAAAGAGAUUUAUGGAGCUCGGAUUUAUGGCUUAAUCAACAUUUUGGCUUUUCUGUUGGCUUGUGAUCAAACAGGAUUUUCACACAUCAUAACAGGAAAUUCAGUUUCAAUCAGACAAUGCAUGUGGCCUUGUUCAGUUGUUCUAUGAAUAAAAUAGUUUUAUUCAACAAUAUUUUGCCUUUUCGAUUUUAUUUUUAUUUUUAAGUUAAUUUUGAGCAGUUUGUACAAAAGAGUUAUCUUGUAGAAAGACAGUUUUGCUUUGCAGAAGUUAGAGGUAAAACAGAUUAUGCUGUUUGUAUUCCUUUGAUGUGCAACCUUUUUAAAAUCAUAUCAAACACAUUGUAUAAACAGGUAGUAUUUUGUAGGCAUAUAGUUAAAGGAUCAGAG
ensembl:lncRNA